rnacentral:rRNA from 1 species
GCAGCCGCGGUAAUACGUAGGGGGCGAGCGUUAUCCGGAAUUAUUGGGCGUAAAGAGUACGUAGGUGGUUUUGUAAGCGCGGGGUGAAAGGCAGUGGCUCAACCAUUGUUAGCCUUGCGAACUGCAAGACUUGAGUGCAGGAGGGGAAAGUGGAAUUCCUAGUGUAGCGGUGAAAUGCUUAGAUAUUAGGAGGAACACCAGUGGCGAAGGCGACUUUCUGGACUGUAACUGACACUGAGGUACGAAAGCGUGGGGAGCAAACAGGAUUAGAUACCCC